AUGUUAGGAUCGGCUGGCUCAUCCUCAUCAUCCGAAAAGAAAACAGAGACAAAACAGAUUUGUUUCAAUGACAUAUCUAAUCAGACUGAAAUUGAUGUCGAAGACACGAUCAGUCACAUCAAUUGAAGCAGGCAGGAAGGGCGCGGAAGCUACCGUUUAACGAAUGCAAUGCAAGCAAGGUAG
rnacentral:rRNA from 1 species